GUAUUUGGUUUGUGAAGUGUAAUUUAUGCUUUUUUCCUUUCCCUCACAGAUAACCAUGGUUAAUAAAUGGUCAGUAGAUGACACGUCACUGGCUUUAAAAUAUAAACCCCAUUGAUGCAAAAAGAUGCUGCAUGGAAUGACAAUGAGGUUUGGAACAGACUUGGUGAAGAACAUGGAAACAUCUCCAAAUAAAAUGGCCCCAAACAUCAUCAGGAGUGCAAAAGAAUGAAGUAAAAAACAUCUCUACGCCAAUCUCAUUGGAACAGCAGAGGAAAGCACAGAAGGUCUGGUGAGGAAUGCUGCACUUAUGUUAUUGCAAGCAUUAUUUCAAGAAAAUCCCAGCUUUCUUUACUGUGAACCCAAAGGUCCCACACCAACCAUAGUGUUCAACGGCUCUCCUGAUCCUCU